rnacentral:rRNA from 1 species
AGAGUUUGAUCCUGGCUCAGGAUGAACGCUGGCGGCGUGCCUAACACAUGCAAGUUGAGCGAUUUACUUCGGUAAAGAGCGGCGGACGGGUGAGUAACGCGUGGGUAACCUACCCUGUACACACGGAUAACAUACCGAAAGGUAUGCUAAUACGGGAUAAUAUAUUUGAGAGGCAUCUCUUAAAUAUCAAAGGUGAGCCAGUACAGGAUGGACCCGCGUCUGAUUAGCUAGUUGGUAAGGUAACGGCUUACCAAGGCGACGAUCAGUAGCCGACCUGAGAGGGUGAUCGGCCACAUUGGAACUGAGACACGGUCCAAACUCCUACGGGAGGCAGCAGUGGGGAAUAUUGCACAAUGGGCGAAAGCCUGAUGCAGCAACGCCGCGUGAGUGAUGAAGGCCUUCGGGUCGUAAAACUCUGUCCUCAAGGAAGAUAAUGACGGUACUUGAGGAGGAAGCCCCGGCUAACUACGUGCCAGCAGCCGCGGUAAUACGUAGGGGGCUAGCGUUAUCCGGAUUUACUGGGCGUAAAGGGUGCGUAGGCGGUCUUUCAAGUCAGGAGUGAAAGGCUACGGCUCAACCGUAGUAAGCUCUUGAAACUGGGAGACUUGAGUGCAGGAGAGGAGAGUGGAAUUCCUAGUGUAGCGGUGAAAUGCGUAGAUAUUAGGAGGAACACCAGUUGCGAAGGCGGCUCUCUGGACUGUAACUGACGCUGAGGCACGAAAGCGUGGGGAGCAAACAGGAUUAGAUACCCUGGUAGUCCACGCUGUAAACGAUGAGUACUAGGUGUCGGGG